AAGACUAUACUUUCAGGGAUCAUUUCUAGAGUUUCUAACUUGAGGAAUGCGUUUCUAAAGUGUUUGGUCUUGCUGACCGUGAUGUUGAAUUAUGAUAUUCCUUUCUGAGCAUGAAGCUAACAGCGAGUAAUGAUUCACUUCAUAUGCUCUCUGUCACUAAUGAUCGUUGUUGUUUCUUUAUGGAGCAUUGAGGAAGGGAAUAUGAUCAUAGUGGU